UACCAACCCAACCAAUCACCUAAACACGUUAAUGGAAAGUUGCAAAAUAAAGGUACCAAUUAUCGAGAGGUUUCCCUACUGUUAAAGAAAGAAAAUCCCAUCAACAGAUGUUUAAUAUUAUUUCAAAAAUGAACGAUACAGAUGGAACCUCGAUCCCAUUCCUUAGCCUAUAUAAUGAGCCUCUCUACUUCAUAAGCCUUGCAAGUUGCGAUCAGUUCUUUCUUCUCCAUUGUUGUUUCUGUUAUCUUUUCCUUUUUUUUUUUUUUUUUUGCUUAAUAGCUUUCUGAGGGGCAUACUUCACUCGAAAAGUGUGGUGGUACCAAGCCAGUAGGCUGUGGAAAUUUAGAAUAUUUAUAUGGUUUUCUUGUAUUUUAAUAUAAAGUAGGGUUUCUGGUUAGGCGUAAUGGUGCUCUCUUCACUCCUGUUGUAAAAGGAGGUGAUGGUAGGCCACGGCUGCUAGUUCAUGAAUACCCCUGGCUGCGCAGGAUUAAAGUAAUAAAGUUUGCGCAGGCUAAGGGUUUGCAUGACCUGGGAGACGUGGUUACCUUCUUCUUUUUUAUAUUGGAGUGAAGGGAGCUCUGUUGUCUCUCUCGUUUACUUCUGUGGAAGAUUCCAGCUAACCGUACAAGAGGGCAAUUGCGUAUAAGAACUAAUGCUGUGUCUGGAGCAUAAUAAAACGAUGAGAUAGCUUCUUGUUCCCACAAUCUUAUCCUUCUGUUGGACAUUGGCGAGAAUCUGACAUAGAAAAAGUUACAGUAUGAUGGAUAUUUCAUAUUUAAAGUUAUAUAAUUGUUUCUCAAGGUCUGAAAUGCAGCAUUUUGUAAAAUCAAAAUGUGAUUUCAUUCCAAUUAUGUAUGCAAUCGAAGGUAGUCUACUGGAAGUUUAACUCUUGUUUUCUUUUAUAAUAAAUAAACAUGAAGAUUAUUUCUCCUUUUUUA